UCCAUAUGUAAUAAGAGAAUUUAUAACAUGACAGUUAGUUGCCAAUUAUAUCUAGCUGACGACACUUGCUGCUUCUACCAGAUGAAGCCAGUGGCGGAAGAAGGGACCCGAUGCCUGGAGUAACUUUGCAGUAUAAAAUUUUGCAUUGUUCGAUUGGUCAAGAUAGAGUGGUUUUAGUGGAAUUCAGCACUUGAUGGUCAUAUCGUCUGUAUUUGCAUGUCCUGGUGAUGGUAGAGAGCUCUUCCACACCUCGUGCACAUAUCAGAAUCCGCGAGGUUUAAAACGACAGGAAGACAGUGUUUUACAUUGUUGAAAGACAAAGAAAAAGAAUCGAUUCCAGAACGUGCCGUCCUGUGUUUGUUGUUUUCGACAGUUGAGGGGAGAGUCCGGUGCAUGCCAGAUACUAUCUG